CCGACCUUGAAAUACCACCCUUUAAUGUUUGAUGUUCUAACGUGGAUCCGUAAUCCGGGUUGCGGACAGUGUCUGGUGGGUAGUUUGACUGGGGCGGUCUCCUCCUAAAGAGUAACGGAGGAGCACGAAGGUUGGCUAAUCCUGGUCGGACAUCAGGAGGUUAGUGCAAUGGCAUAAGCCAGCUUGACUGCGAGCGUGACGGCGCGAGCAGGUGCGAAAGCAGGUCAUAGUGAUCCGGUGGUUCUGAAUGGAAGGGCCAUCGCUCAACGGAUAAAAGGUACUCCGGGGAUAACAGGCUGAUACCGCCCAAGAGUUCAUAUCGACGGCGGUGUUUGGCACCUCGAUGUCGGCUCAUCACAUCCUGGGGCUGAAGUAGGUCCCAAGGGUAUGGCUGUUCGCCAUUUAAAGUGGUACGCGAGCUGGGUUUAGAACGUCGUGAGACAGUUCGGUCCCUAUCUGCCGUGGGCGCUGGAGAACUGAGGGGGGCUGCUCCUAGUACGAGAGGACCGGAGUGGACGCAUCACUGGUGUUCGGGUUGUCAUGCCAAUGGCACUGCCCGGUAGCUAAAUGCGGAAGAGAUAAGUGCUGAAAGCAUCUAAGCACGAAACUUGCCCCGAGAUGAGUUCUCCCUGAGACUUAGAGUCUCCUGAAGGAACGUUGAAGACGACGACGUUGAUAGGCCGGGUGUGUAAGCGCAGCGAUGCGUUGAGCUAACCGGUACUAAUGAACCGUGAGGCUUAACCUUACAACGCCGAAG
rnacentral:rRNA from 1 species